rnacentral:rRNA from 1 species
AGAACGAACGCUGGCGGCGUACUUAACACAUGCAAGUCGGACGAGAAAGGGAGCUUCGGUUCCUGAGUAAAGUGGCGAACGGGUGCGUAACACGUAAGUAAUCUACCCUAGACACUGGGAUAACUUUCCGAAAGGGAGGCUAAUACCGGAUAGGUCCUUAUAGCAACAGCCAUAAGGGGGAAAGCAGGCCUCUGUUUCAUGCUUGCAGUUUAGGAUGAGCUUGCGGCUCAUUAGCUAGUUGGUAGGUAAAAGCCUACCAAGGCGACGAUGGGUAGCUGGUCUGAGAGGAUGAUCAGCCACACUGGCACUGAGACACGGGCCAGGCUCCUACGGGAGGCAGCAGUGGGGAAUUUUGCGCAAUGGGCGAAGGCCUGACGCAGUAACGCCGCGUGGAGGAUGAAGGCCUUCGGUUGUAAACUCCUGUCAGGAGAACGACGGAAGUAGAAUGAAUAAUCUAUUCCAGACGUACCUACCAAAGGAACGCCCGACUAACUUCCGACGCCAGCAGCCGCGGUAAC